rnacentral:lncRNA from 1 species
GUAAAACCGGCUUGAACAGUAUUAGUGGGGACAGGAUCAGGUCCGCAAAAGUAGGAUUCUAGGGCUGCAAUAAAUUUAUUUGAGAAUUUGGAAGACAAUUAAUAUGCGUGAUAGGAGGUUUUGAAUUACUUAUGCUGAGAUGAUUUGAUACGUUUUCUAGAUUUUUGGGUUUUCCCGUCUCACCCCUUACCAUAUUUCCCUGGGGGGAAGGGUGCUCUUGUUUCCCUGGUAAUUUGCACGUGGGAUUAUUGAAAGCAAUGAAAUAAUUCAUAUC